CAGUCGCCACGGUAAUACGGAGGGUGCAAGCGUUAAUCGGAAUUACUGGGCGUAAAGCGCACGCAGGCGGUCUGUCAAGUCAGAUGUGAAAUCCCCGGGCUUAACCUGGGAACUGCAUUUGAAACUGGCAGGCUAGAGUCUUGUAGAGGGGGGUAGAAUUCCAGGUGUAGCGGUGAAAUGCGUAGAGAUCUGGAGGAAUACCGGUGGCGAAGGCGGCCCCCUGGACAAAGACUGACGCCCAGGUGCGAAAGCGUGGGGAGCAAACAGGAUUAGAUACCCCGGUAGUCCCUGUCUCUUAUAC
rnacentral:rRNA from 1 species